UCUUGUCAAAAAGAAUUAAGGCUAUGUGCUCUCAGGAAAACAACUGUGCCCUUCCCAUUACUUGGCAUUUGGAAUAAUGAAAUGAAUGGUGUAAACUCUCUGACUUCCAGAAACCAUAAGAACAGAGAAGUCCAGAAGCUUCUGAGAGGACCCCAGCUCCUGAUUCCCAUAUGUGGAUGGCUCAGAUCAAUGCUGUCUGUUCAGCAGUACCACUCAGCCCCUACCAAGGAGUCACUGAACUUUCACAAGCACAAAUAUUUCUUCCUUUUUUUAGACAAGGACAGAAGGGCCUCUUCCUUAUCCACACUUCUGAUCUCAUCAUCCUCUUUGUUCUCACUCCCAAAUAGCUGUUUUCUCUGAAUUAGAUGCCAAUUACUAAACACUAGAGGUACUAAAAGAAUACCUGAGAGGAAAUGCAGUCAUGACAACACUUGUGACAUCAAAGAAGAAGAUAAAGCUCUCCCGGUUACAAGAGAUUUUUCAGGCAGGACCUCAUGAUGACAUUACUGAGAACUGUCAUGGCCUCCCUGCUAAACAGCUUUCCUUACAUGGACCAGAUUUGAGCUUGCCCUUUCCACUGUUCCAUUUGCUCAAAACUAUUAGUGAAGAGGGUAAAAUGAUUCUAAAGGCUAUUCUUGGUUGUCAACUAUUCAUCUGAGAUUAAUUAAACUCCAACGACAAAGGGAAUAUGUGUCGAAUUUCUGCAUGAGGGCAAGGCAUCUGCAGAUACAUUCAUUUGAGGAAUGUAUCCUUCUCACUGGAGACCAUAGAGGGGACCUGCAUAUCAAUAAUAAACGUCACUUCAAGGCAUCAAAGCAAAAUAUCAAAGUGAGAAUGUAAUAAAUUUAUUAGGACAGUGUUUUGCAAACAACUUCUUUCACAAACAGUCUUGGAAGGAGAGUUCUGAAAUUUUAAAUUUCAUAUUUGACUUUGCUGGUCCUCUGACAGAAUCAACUCACAACUUUUUGGGACUUUAUGGGCAAUUAAACACUACAAACAGAGCUGAAUGCAUCAUAUGCUCUGCCGUCUGUGUUAAUAUGGGUACAGUGAAGAACAACUAUAAUAAAUCUAUUCAUCUGUUUUUCAAACAGCAUCCUCAUACAAUUGUGGACUUCUGUGGGUUGUAGGAUGGCUGAGAGCUGCAAAUGCAGAA